rnacentral:rRNA from 1 species
ACAUCCAGCGAACUUGGCAGAGAUGCCUUGGUGCCUUCGGGAACGCUGAGACAGGUGCUGCAUGGCUGUCGUCAGCUCGUGUUGUGAAAUGUUGGGUUAAGUCCCGCAACGAGCGCAACCCUUAUCCUUUGUUGCCAGCGAUUCGGUCGGGAAACUCAAAGGAGACUGCCGGUGAUAAACCGGAGGAAGGUGGGGAUGACGUCAAGUCAUCAUGGCCCUUACGAGUAGGGCUACACACGUGCUACAAUGGCGCAUACAAAGAGAAGCGACCUCGCGAGAGCAAGCGGACCUCAUAAAGUGCGUCGUAGUCCGGAUCGGAGUCUGCAACUCGACUCCGUGAAGUCGGAAUCGCUAGUAAUCGUGGAUCAGAAUGCCACGGUGAAUACGUUCCCGGGCCUUGUACACACCGCCCGUCACACCAUGGGAGUGGGUUGCAAAAGAAGUAGGUAGCUUAACCUUCGGGAGGGCGCUUACCACUUUGUGAUUCAUGACUGGGGUGAAGUCGUAACAAGGUAGGCGUAGCGAG